AGGGUUGGGACUGAACCUCACCCAAUUUCCCUCUUCUGAGCCAAAAAACCCCAAAGUGAGACCUCCAAAAAUUGGGAAAAAAGGUGGAGAGGAGCAGGAGAUGAAUCUCACUCAAUUUCCCUCUUCUCAACCUAAAACAACCCAAGGUGAGACCUCUAAAAAUUGGGGAAAAAAGUGGAAAGGAGCAGGAGAUGAACCUUGCCCAAUUUCCCUCUUCUCAACCUAAAACAGCUCAAGGUGAGACCUCCAAAAAUCAGGAGAAAAAGUGGAGAGGAGCAGGAGAUGAACCUUGCCCAAUUUCCCUCUUUUCAACCUAAAAACAGCCCAAGGUGAGACCUCAAAAAAUUGGGAGAAUUUGGGAGAAUUGGAGAGGAGCAGGAGCUGAAGGCAGAGCUGGAGAACAUCUGGACCAGAGAUGGACCUCAGCACUCCACCGACAGCUCUCCACGGCCACAAGAGAUCCGUGGCAGUCCUGGAUCCCAAAAUCCGUCCCAAAUCCACCCCCUGGAGCUGCUCCAUCAUCCCCUGACCCUGAAACCAUCCCAAAAUCUCCAUCCCGUGGGAUGAGGAGCUCCUGGCGCUCACCGGAUUGGUGGAGGAGCACGAAGGUGGCGAGAAACUGGAUCCAAAAUGCGUCCAUGGGCAUCAGGAGCACGGAGAGGAUCGGGACGGCCGAGAACGCGAGAGCCAAGGCGAUGAAGAGGAAGAGGAAGAGCGUCCGCGUGGUUUUCCGGCAGCUGGGGGAGGCGGAGAGUUGCGUCCCCGCGGGCUCCCUUGGGAAAUCGGGACCGCGGGACGAGAUCCCGGCGUGAAAUUCCGCAGGGAUGAGGUCGGAGUCCAAAUCCGAGGUGGGAGUCACCGUUCCCGGGGUCCACAGGUGUGGGGAUGAGCAUUCCC